rnacentral:rRNA from 1 species
GUGGAUUAGAUACCCUAGUAGUCCACGCCGUAAACGAUGGAUGCUAGCCGUUGGCAGGCUUGCCUGUCAGUGGCGCAGCUAACGCAUUAAGCAUCCCGCCUGGGGAGUACGGUCGCAAGAUUAAAACUCAAAGGAAUUGACGGGGGCCCGCACAAGCGGUGGAGCAUGUGGUUCAAUUCGAAGCAACGCGCAGAACCUUACCAGCCCUUGACAUGUCCCGUAUGGGUUUCAGAGAUGAGACCCUUCAGUUCGGCUGGCGGGAACACAGGUGCUGCAUGGCCGUCGCCAGCU